rnacentral:tRNA from 4 species
CACUCUUGUGCGCAGUGGGCGCGGCGGGGCUUUGGUUUGUGCCGGGCCAGGCGAUCAUCUGGACGCUACUGUUCGGCUUCGGUACAGGCGCGAC